rnacentral:rRNA from 1 species
CCUACGGGUGGCAGCAGUGAGGAAUAUUGGUCAAUGGGCGGGAGCCUGAACCAGCCAAGCCGCGUGAGGGAAGAAGGUACAGCGUAUCGUAAACCUCUUUUGUCAGGGAACAAAGGCGGGGACUAGUCCCCGGCUGAGGGUACCUGACGAAAAAGCAUCGGCUAACUCCGUGCCAGCAGCCGCGGUAAAACGGAGGAUUCGAGCGUUAUCCGGAUUUAUUGGGGUUAAAGGGUGCGCAGGCGGAAGAGCAAGUCAGCGGUAAAAUUGAGGGGCUCAACCUCUUCGAGCCGUUGAAACUGGUUGGCUUGAGUGAGCGAGAAGUAGGCGGAAUGCGUGGUGUAGCGGUGAAAUGCAUAGAUAUCACGCAGAACUCCGAUUGCGAAGGCAGCAUACCGGGGCUCAACUGACGCUCAUGCACGAAAGUGUGGGUAUCGAACAGGAUUAGAUACCCGAGUAGUC